AUGGUCGUGGUAAUCAGGUAUUUGAGCAAACAAGGAGAGACUAUUGAACGCUUUUUAGCUAUUAAGCAUGUUCCGCACACAACAUCUGCUUCUUUAAAGAAGGCAUUGUUGGAGGCUUUUGCUAAAAAUGGUCUAGUUGUUGCACGACUACGAGGGCAAGGGUAUGACGGGGCAUCUAAUAUGAGAGGAGAAUCCAAUGGCCUUCAGAAGUUAAUUCGAGAUGAGAACCCAUAUGCUUUCUAUAUCCAUUGCUUUGCCCAUCAAUUGCUGUUGGUAGUUGUUGUUGUUUCGAGAUGCUGCAAGGGUGUUGAGGAUUUUUUUUUGAAUAUGUGA
rnacentral:rRNA from 1 species